UACGUAGGGCAAGCGUUGUCCGGAAUUAUUGGCGUAAGCGCGCGCAGGCGGCCUCUUAAGUCUGAUGUGGAAUCUUGCGGCUCAACCGUAAGCGGUCAUUGGAAACUGGGAGACUUGAGUACAGAAGAGGAGAGUGGAAUUCCAUGUGUAGCGGUGAAAUGCGUAGAUAUAUGGAGGAACACCAGUGGCGAAGGCGACUCUCUGGUCUGUAACUGACGCUGAGGCGCGAAAGCGUGGGGAGCAAACAGG
rnacentral:rRNA from 1 species